CACGUAGGGCGCAAGCGUUGUCCGGAAUUAUUGGGCGUAAAGGGCUCGUAGGCGGUUUGUCGCGUCGGGAGUGAAAACGCCGUGCUUAACACGGCGCUUGCUUUCGAUACGGGCAGACUAGAGGUAUUCAGGGGAGAACGGAAUUCCUGGUGUAGCGGUGAAAUGCGCAGAUAUCAGGAGGAACACCGGUGGCGAAGGCGGUUCUCUGGGAAUGACCUGACGCUGAGGAGCGAAAGUGUGGGGAGCGAACAGG
rnacentral:rRNA from 1 species